rnacentral:rRNA from 1 species
AAAUUGAAGAGUUUGAUCAUGGCUCAGAUUGAACGCUGGCGGCAGGCCUAACACAUGCAAGUCGAACGGUAACAGGAAGCAGCUUGCUGCUUUGCUGACGAGUGGCGGACGGGUGAGUAAUGUCUGGGAAACUGCCUGAUGGAGGGGGAUAACUACUGGAAACGGUAGCUAAUACCGCAUAACGUCGCAAGACCAAAGAGGGGGACCUUAGGGCCUCUUGCCAUCGGAUGUGCCCAGAUGGGAUUAGCUAGUAGG